GUCGAAGAGCCGGCCGGGUACGGAGGGGAAGGAAGAGCGUUUGGGGAGAAGGAACGGCGUAUGCAGACGUCUAGAGAGGAGGGAAUGCGAUCCGGUGACAGGGAAGCAACUUGCCUCAAGUCGGCUCCAGGAAGAAGCCGUCCAGCCAACCCUUGAACCCUGAUCUGUCUGAGUCCGGAAUCUAUCCCGUUGCCCGUUCCAGGAAGAACCGGGACGCAGGCUCAGAACCUCUCUCCACACAGCCCCCGAGCAGCAACCUCCCAUCAGCGAGCAGGUGUGCAGUUGGAGUUGUGGGGUAAACACAGGCUGACUCCUCUUUCCAGGAAACAUUGCUCCUUCGUCUUCCAGACUGACAAAUUUUUAGGUCACAAAAUGCAUUCCUUUCCCUGUUUAAAAAAAAAAAAAAAAAAAUCCCUUCAGUUUCUUUUCAUUACCCCGAGGAUGAAAUCCAAACUCCCGGUCCUACUUUUGUCCUUGCUGUCUGCUGUGCCCACCACGGCAUCUCUUAGCUCUUGAGAGAGCUCUCCCGCCCCCCGCCACCCUGGCUAGAGUCUCCCCGACACCUCCAAUUCCAUCGUGGUAACAAUUGUCGUCUUUUGUGCUUCGCUUUGCUUGUCCCUCCCGCAAGGCAGGG